CAGAAGUGCCCUGACGAACUGUGCAGUGCUGACCACAAGGCGAGCCAACCAUCCCUUAAGAGUUGCUUAUUCAGCAUCCUUGGCUAACUCAAAGGAAGCACCUCCCAAAAGCAGUGCUACAAGGAUGUGAGCCACAAGUACUUUUCAACGAUUAGAUAAGAUGCCUGAGAGCCACGGGCCGGCUGCUUCUGGCAUACACAGACAGUGCAGUCACUACAGUAAAGUUUUUGCAAAGGUGUGAGACAUUCUUAUGUUGCAUAGAGUAGGCAUAUUAAUUGUCAGUUUUAUAGCUUAUAAGGAUAUGUCUGCAAAAGUGAUUCCCCGCACAGUGUGUUUUACAUUCUCUCAAAGUGUCAUUAGGCAGAUUUAGCUCUGUCUUUCUUUUUUGUCACCUUCCAGACCAUCUCGCUAAUUCAUGCAGAGUGCUGCAGCAAUCGCAUUGUACAUUCUACAAAACCUGGCCCAAAGGCAGGCGGAAGGCAGUACAGAUGGACAUACAGAAGCCAUCGGGCUGCCUCAGAAACUGUGACUGAGCAUUAACGCGUAAUUAUUUGCGAGUUGAUGGUCUUGUCAUGCUAGUCUGUAAAGUGGUUUCUUGACCAUUAGCAAUAUUUUCCGAAACUGGUGCUUUGAUGCCGCAAUGUGGGAAGAAGUUAUUCUACCACUAUUUUGGGGGAAAACUAUCUAAUACAGCAGAGGCUUUUGAAACCAUCUGCUCAAUAAUUGAGUUAUGGAAGAAAAAUAAAUGACCCAUGAUUGUUGCUUCA